AUGGCUACUGGACAGGAUUGUGUGGUUACUCUCAUGGACAUAGACUUUGUUCCAAUGGAGCAGCGGCAAAAUCCUCAUUUGAGGAAUAAAUCUUGUGCAGCUGUGUAGUACAAAUCAUGGAAGGUGGUAGAAUAAUUGCAGUGAGUUAUGAAGCUCUUGCAUUUGGGGUCACUAUAUGUAGGCAGAUGAUGCAAAGAAGUUAAGUCCAGGUCUUCUACUGGCACAAGUUCGUGAGUACCAUGGGAAAGCUAACCUCACCAAGUACCGGGAAGCCAGUGUUGAAGUGAUGGAGGAAGUCUUGUUUUGCUGUGAUUGAAUGCGUCAGCAUCGAUGAGGCUUAUGUAGAUCUGACCAGUGCUGUACGAUAGAGACUACAAAAGCUACAAGGUCAGCCUAUCUCAGCAGACUUGUUGCCAAGCACUUAAAUUGAAGGGUUGCCCAAAGACCCCACAACAGCAGAAGAGACUGUU
rnacentral:lncRNA from 1 species